rnacentral:misc_RNA from 1 species
UAAUAAGUGUUUUAUGGCACUUUUUAAGUCCAUAUCCACCUUGUGUGCAAUGUCAGUCGAUCUUCUUCAUGGAGAUCGACCAAACAUCAACCUUUAUUUUUAACUCUUUGUCUGAAAAAUAUUAUGAAUAAACAAUUCAAAAUA